GAUGAACGCUGGCGGCGUGCCUAAUACAUGCAAGUCGAGCGAACAGACGAGGAGCUUGCUCCUCUGACGUUAGCGGCGGACGGGUGAGUAACACGUGGAUAACCUACCUAUAAGACUGGGAUAACUUCGGGAAACCGGAGCUAAUACCGGAUAAUAUAUUGAACCGCAUGGUUCAAAAGUGAAAGACGGUCUUGCUGUCACUUAUAGAUGGAUCCGCGCCGCAUUAGCUAGUUGGUAAGGUAACGGCUUACCAAGGCAACGAUGCAUAGCCGACCUGAGAGGGUGAUCGGCCACACUGGAACUGAGACACGGUCCAGACUCCUACGGGAGGCAGCAGUAGGGAAUCUUCCGCAAUGGGCGAAAGCCUGACGGAGCAACGCCGCGUGAGUGAUGAAGGUCUUCGGAUCGUAAAACUCUGUUAUUAGGGACGAACAUAUGUGUAAGUAACUGUGCACAUCUUGACGGUACAUAAUCAGAAAGCCACGGCUAACUACGUG
rnacentral:rRNA from 1 species